rnacentral:lncRNA from 7 species
AAGACUCUCAAUGUGUCAUUGUGUGUUGUACUUUUUAAUAGUUCUGCUAGUCUUGUCCUACACCCUGAAAGUAAAUAGAUGGUUCAGCAAAAGCAGAAGUUGUAAGAGAAGAGGAAAUUUUACAAAUGUGCUUCCUUUAUAACAUGGAAAUGAUCGCGUUUCUUAAUGCUUUUAAGAUUCAAGGUUUACUAUUUUAUUGUCCACUGAUUGUUGCCAAAGUUCUCUCAUUGGAGUUUGCCGUCCCACUUCAGACAUUCCACCAGAAAAAAAAGGAGGAAGUCUGUGUUAUCCCUGCAGAAGAUGGAAGGGAAAGCUUAUCUCUAGCAACCUCACCUGCUGCCCUGAGAUGCACAGUUCCUUCCUGUUCCUUCACAGUGAGUUGUUCAACCAUACCAAAAGAAGCAGUGGAUAUCAUGAGCCUUUACAGUCUUUCUAAUUGGGGAGCACUGGAUAAAGAAGACUUCUUCAGUCCAAAAGGAUAAUGUGACACUCAAUCCCCACUCUCACUGAGGCAUACCUCUGUUUGGCAAACUGAAAGGACAGGAAAAGACCUGAAGGGUAUUACUGAAAACUUUAUAGUAACUACCAAAUAGCAGUCAGUGACUAUACCUACUGGCAAUGAUCCAGAUUCGCAACUUGCACAUGUGCAAUUCACAUUUGUAUUAAAAACUAAUUUCCUACUGAAGCCAUUGAAGAAAGAUGCUGCAAAGAGCCCAGUCCUCAGAAAAGCUGAGAAGCCCAUGCUGAGGGUCUGUUGGCCUCUCAAGACUGCAACCAGGGCUGAGUGCUGAGCUACUUUCAGAAGAAUUUUGGUACCAUCCAUCACUAAGCUCCAAAUGUAAACCACUACCAUAAAAAUAGUUCCUUUUUCUUCAGAUAGGAUUACCUCUUUCUGAACAGACAAGCACAUGCAGAUAGAAUGUCACAGUAGCAGAUAACUCUUGGCUGUAGAAUAAAGAUGAUUCGCUUCUUUAACG